rnacentral:rRNA from 1 species
GACGAACGCUGGCGGCGUGCUUAACACAUGCAAGUCGAACGAGUGGCGGACGGGUGAGUAAUGCCUGGGAAUCUAGCUUAUGGAGGGGGAUAACUACGGGAAACGGUAGCUAAUACCGCGUACCAUCGGAUGAGCCCAGGUGGGAUUAGGUAGUUGGUGAGGUAAAGGCUCACCAAGCCGACGAUCCCUAGCUGGUCUGAGAGGAUGACCAGCCAAAUUGGGAAUGGGAAACGGCCCAGACUCCUACGGGAGGCAGGAGUGGGGAAUCAUCCGCAAUGGAGGAAAGGUGGAGGAGCAACGCCGCGGGAGAGAUGACGGCCUUCGGGUUGUAAAGCUAUGUUAAUCGGGAGACGGUACCGGAAUAGAAAGCCACGGCUAACUACGUGCCAGCAGCCGCGGUAAUUC